rnacentral:rRNA from 1 species
UGGUCUUGACAUAGAAAGAACUUUCCAGAGAUGGAUUGGUGCCUGCUUGCAGGAGCUUUCAUACAGGUGCUGCACGGCUGUCGUCAGCUCGUGUCGUGAGAUGUUGGGUUAAGUCCCGCAACGAGCGCAACCCUCGUCGUUAGUUGCUAACAGUUCGGCUGAGAACUCUAACGAGACUGCCUACGCAAGUAGGAGGAAGGUGAGGACGACGUCAAGUCAUCAUGGCCCUUACGACCAGGGCUACACACGUGCUACAAUGGGGUAUACAAAGAGCAGCAAUACGGUGACGUGGAGCGAAUCUCAUAAAACCUCUCGUAGUCCGGAUCGGAGUCUGCAACUCGACUCCGUGAAGUCGGAAUCGCUAGUAAUCGUGAAUCAGAAUGUCACGGUGAAUACGUUCCCGGGCCU